UGGGAUGGGUGGUAUUGGGAAAACCACUCUUGCCAGACAAGUUUUUCAUCAUGACAUUGUUCGAAGUCAUUUUGAUGGAUUCGCAUGGAUCUGCGUUUCGCAAGAUUUUAAGCGGAAGGAUAUUUGGCAAAAGUUAUUGCAAGACCUCAGACCACAUGAUAAGGGCAACAAACAUAUGAAUGAAGAAACACUCCAGGCUGAGCUCUUUCACUUGUUGGAAACAUCUAAAUAUUUAAUUGUCAUGGAUGAUGUAUGGAAAAAAGAAGACUGGGAUGUAAUAAAAGACGUUUUCCCCCAAGAAAGAGGUGAGCUCUCUAAUUGUACAUACAUUACUUAAAGUACUCCCCAUAGUCACAUUUCAUAAAUGCCUUUGAGUCCCUGAGAUGAAAGCAAAUACAAUUGCAGGUUGGAAGAUGAUUCUUACUUCACGUGAUGAAGGUGUUGGUUUGCAUGUAAACCCAAAAUCUUUCCUCUUUAAACCAAAAAUCCUUACUCCUGAAGAAAGUUGGAAGCUAUGUGAGAGCAUAGUAUUCUCUAGAAGAGAGAUAACCGGUACGUUUAUAUAUAAGAAUCAUAUGAAUCUCUUACGGCCUCCUAUAUAAAAAAUCAUUUUUAUUAAAUAACAUAUAAAUCUGAUAUUGAUAUGUUUGUAUUAAAGAUAUUGUUUUUUAUAUUAAAUUUCUUUUGAGUUAUAUAAAAGGAAUUUUUUUAUAUUAAAUUACAUGAUAUAAAAAUGUUAUAUAUUUAUUAAAGAUAUUUCCUUUUUGAUAAUAAAGUGAUUUGAAAACAAAUAUAAAAAUGUUAAAUUGAAAUAUUAAUAGUGGUAUUUUAACAAUAAAUUUUAUUCAUUAAGUUAUCACUGUGAUUUACCAUUCUAAGAAUCAACAUAAGUGCGACACAUAAAAAAUUUGACUUAUCAAACAAUAUUAUAGAGAUAGAGAUACUAUUAUGUUCUACAUAUUUUUAGAUAAUUUUUCUUAUUUUUUUUUACAUUUUUAAUGAUUUUGACUGAUGAGUCAGCAAUUUAGAUUUAUACUAUUAUAUAAUAUUUUAUCUUAUUUCGUCAUCAAUUAUUUAUUUUAUCUUAAUUUUAAUAUAUAAUAAAAUUAAUAUUUAAAAUUAAAUAAUGUAAUCAAAUAAUAAAAUCUAAAACUAAUAAAAUUUUAUUUUAGAAUAAAAUUUAAAUUUUAAAAAUUUAUUUUUGUACAAGGUGCAGAAAAACACCUAUUAUAAACUUCAUAUUGUAAGUGAACGUAAAUGUUCAAGACAAAAAAGUGUCAAUGAUAACGUAAAUUAUAAAUACUAAGGGCAUGACAGGUUUUUCCGCUACCAUUCGGAAAUGCAACUUUUGCGGUUCGUAGGGGUUAUUGGUGUUUUGCAACAAUCACUCAAACCGAUACAAAUCUCUUAAAUUCAAAAGAUGGUUCCACCUAAGCUUCAAUUGGUGACUGUGUAAAAAAUGAAAUGAAUGAAAAAAAAGUUGAACAAAAUUUCAUUUACUGAAUUGAAUUGAAAAAAAAAAUUGAAUAAAUAGAAAAAAAAAGAAUUGAACAAAAAGUAAACAUGAAUGGUAAAAAAAAGAGAUGAACAUUGUGUUUUCAUAUUUUAAAGUGGAAUAUAACUAGUAUUAAAAUACACGCACAAUGAAACCAAGUUUUAAACUUCUAAUACAAGUUAACUCCACGUAUUGAAAACUGACCUUUGCUCACCAUACAGUAAAACACAAACGAAUAUUUAAACACAAUAAAGAAUUAACAACUAUAGGCGUUGUGUACCACGUCUAUUUGCACGCCAUAACUGGUCAGCUAUAGAAAUUAACUUUUUCUAAAAGAAAAUAGAGAGCAUAAAUCUAUUACCUCUGCUUCUGCUUUCGUUAAUGAGAUUUUCUAAGGAGGAAGAAUACUUAAGUAUUUAUAGAGUUAGUAGGAUAAUCAUAAUCUAGAAGAUAAGUUCAAACUUUUUUUGUUUCUUCUUUUGGGGUAUAUGAUGCAGUUAAUUGAUCUUGGAUGGAUGAGUUAAUAUUUUAGUAGUGUCUUGUGCCAUUUUUUGAAUUAUCUAUAUUUUGUGUAGAGAGAUGUGAAGGUUGUGUUAUAUUGAUAAGAGAAAGGAGUACAAUAUAUAUACAAGAGAGAGGAGAUCACGUAGGAUCUCUAGAGCUUAUCUACAGAGUAUAUACUCUAACCAUAUACAAGAUCCUCCUAUAUACAAGGAGCUAUAAUGUUCCUAUACUUAUCUCUCGAAACUGAAAAAGUUUUUUUUUCUUCUGUUGUUGGGGGAUGACUCCAAAACGUUUCACAAAUAUCCCUUGAGAAUCACUAGAGAAUAUUAGCAUAUACCAAGAGGCAAGAGUAGUUUCGUAAAUGUUUAUUGUUGGUGUUAUAUUAUUGCUGCUUACUUACCAAAUGAAAACAAAAUAAUAAGACGGUAAUACAUUAGAAAAUUUGCAUGAAUACAACCUUCAACACUACUCUACAAAGAUUUUCAACUCUAUCUAGUCACAGAUUCUUCACCUUAUUUGAAAGUUGAGGAGCUUGAUACAAUAAGCGGAGACAAAGACAAAGACAAAAAGCAAUAUCCACGCGAUGUGAACUGCAGCUAUAACUGGUAAUAAGUCUUAUUCGAACCCGGAUCCAUCUUUGAGCAACUUUUUUAGACCCGUUCUACGAGACCAGUGUUCUGCACUAUCGAAUCUUGGUCUCCUACUUGAGAUGUGAUGCUUCCAUACAAUGUCCAGCUACUGGCGUUGCCUAGUAAUUAAUAUCAUCUCCACCAUAUCACUAUUUGCUGCAUCCCCCUCCAUAAGAAACAUAAAACAUAAAAGUUAGGUAGCUCUAAAACACUUCUGAUCAUAACAAAAAUUAAGAUCUAAACCACACUUGGUGAUUACGUAAGUUGGUUCCUAAUUUUUUCCAAUCUUUGGUAUGAGGAACUUGAGAAAAGAUUCCAAAUAGACUGAGGAAGAAAGACAUGCAGAUUCAGGAGAUUUGAUAGUUUGGUGUCAAGGCCACAAAGCAUCAAGCUUGUUAACAUGUCGUAGUAGUAGAACCAGAAGAACUUGACCACAGUACGGUCGUAUCCUAUCAUUGAGUAAAGGAUUAUAGUAUGUAAACUCUAGUUUGUAUGGUGUCAUACUACAUGAUCUAAUAACUUUGUCUAUAUUACCAAUUUUCCCAAUUAAUUAUUUCUAACAAAAAUAUAAUGUAUAAAUAUCAAUGAAUAUAUUUUGCAAGUUGAAAAUAAGGGAGAAAUUUUUUUUACCAAAAAGAAUAAUAAGGGAGAACUACAGUGAAUGUUUCGAGUGGGCCUAAAGCAAAUGCAUUAUUGCCUUGCGAAAAAAUCAUUAUCGCCACAGACUAGAAAAAACUCCUAUUUUCUUUUUAUUCAAAAUUAGAACCACAAGAUGGCAGUCGUAGACUGAUAAGAUUGACUUGGAGUCUACUCUUUCAGUGCCACUCAUAUCUCUUCUUCCAAAGAACCUCUCUAAGCAAGUUGAAGAGCUGUUACAUGAAAGGUAAAUCAUGUUCUUGUAUCAUUAUUUGUCUGUUUAACUUGCUUUGAUCUGUCUUUUGGACUCUGUUGUGGUUGAAUCUGAAUUUAAAAACGAAAAUUCGUUAGAUUAUUACAAAUCUUGUUUUACGAAUUUAAAGCAUUUAAUCAUCAAAUCUUGUUAUAAAUUGUUUGAAUAAAAGUAAGUUAAGUAAAGUUCCUCUGACAUGUAUCAUAUUUUAUUAGAUCAACCAAGGAUUAUCAUAACCGGUUUUAAAUCUUACUACAAGUUUGUACAUAUGUGUUGUGUUGAUGGUGGAACAGGAGAAUAGUGAUGGCUGACGGAGUUGUGUCGUUUGGAGUGGAGAAACUCUGGGAUCUCCUGAGUCGAGAAUCAGAGAGACUGCAGGGAGUUCAUGAGAAAGUUGAUGAUCUAAAAUGUCAGAUGAGAAUGUUACAGUCGUUGUUGAAAGAUGCAGAUGCCAGGAAAUAUGAGAAUGAAGCAGUGAGAAACUUCUUGGAAGAUGUCAAAGACAUUGUAUUUGAUGCUGAAGAUAUAAUUGAAUCCUUUCUUUUGAAAGAACUUAGUGGAAACCAAAAAGGGAUCAAGGGGCGUGUGAAAAGACUUUCUUGUUUCUUAGUGGAUCGCCGAGGUCUUUCUAUGGACAUUGAAGGCAUAACUAAGAGAAUGUCUAAGGUGGUUGCGCAAAUGCAGAGCUUUGGUAUACAGCAUAGCGUUAACAAACCACCGCCUCUACAAAAGAGACAGAGGGAGAUCCAACAAACAUAUCCAAAGAGAUCUCAAAAGGAUCUUGUGGGGGUGGAACAGAGUGUUAAUGAAUUGGUUGGUCAUUUGGUGGAGAAUGAUAACAUCCAAGUAGUUUCCAUAUCUGGGAUGGGUGGUAUUGGGAAAACCACUCUUGCCAGACAAGUUUUUCAUCAUGACAUUGUUCGAAGUCAUUUUGAUGGAUUCGCAUGGAUCUGCGUUUCGCAAGAUUUUAAGCGGAAGGAUAUUUGGCAAAAGUUAUUGCAAGACCUCAGACCACAUGAUAAGGGCAACAAACAUAUGAAUGAAGAAACACUCCAGGCUGAGCUCUUUCACUUGUUGGAAACAUCUAAAUAUUUAAUUGUCAUGGAUGAUGUAUGGAAAAAAGAAGACUGGGAUGUAAUAAAAGACGUUUUCCCC
rnacentral:lncRNA from 1 species